GAAAUAACGAUGUUAGUCUUUUUUUAGGCUGACAAUCGGAAUAGGAAAAACUCUAAAAAGGUUAUUGAUUAACAAUUGGAGGGCAAGUCUGGUGCCAGCAGCCGCGGUAAUUCCAGCUCCAAUAAGGAAAACUAAAGUUGCUGUAGUUUAAAAGCUCGUAGUUGAAUUUCGGGUAUUUGUUGCUAGUUGGUCUUUUCGGCCAUAUUGGUUAACAGAUCCUCACUUGCUGGACGGCUGGCGAUGAUCUUUAUCGGUUGUCGUCAGUUGCCAGAACGUUUACUUUGAGAAAAUUAGAGUGACUAAAAGCAGGCUCACGCCUAUAUAUUGCAUGGAAUAAUGAAAAUAAGAUCUCGUAUUUUAUUUCGUUUGGUUUUAGAAUUGAGAUAAUGAUUAAUAGGAUCAGAGGGGGG
rnacentral:rRNA from 1 species